GUAGUCCAUGCCCUAAACGAUGAAUACUAGACGUUGGGUGUAAAAACUCAGUGUCGCAGCUAACGCAUUAAGUAUUCCACCUGGGGAGUACGAUCGCAAGGUUGAAACUCAAAGGAAUUGACGGGGGCCCGCACAAGCAGUGGAGCAUGUGGUUCAAUUCGAUGCAACGCGAAGAACCUUACCUAGGCUUGAAACGCAAAUUAAAGCGAAUGAAAGUUCGUGUCCCGCAAGGGGAAUUUGUACAGGUGCUGCAUGGCUGUCGUCAGCUCGUGCCGUGAGGUGUUGGGUUAAGUCCCGCAACGAGCGCAACCCUUGUCUUUAGUUGCCACCGGGUGAUGCCGAGCACUCUAAAGAGACUGCCUACGCAAGUAGUGA
rnacentral:rRNA from 1 species